rnacentral:rRNA from 2 species
UCCUAAAGAGUAACGGAGGAGCACGAAGGUUGGCUAAUCCUGGUCGGACAUCAGGAGGUUAGUGCAAUGGCAUAAGCCAGCUUGACUGCGAGCGUGACGGCGCGAGCAGGUGCGAAAGCAGGUCAUAGUGAUCCGGUGGUUCUGAAUGGAAGGGCCAUCGCUCAACGGAUAAAAGGUACUCCGGGGAUAACAGGCUGAUACCGCCCAAGAGUUCAUAUCGACGGCGGUGUUUGGCACCUCGAUGUCGGCUCAUCACAUCCUGGGGCUGAAGUAGGUCCCAAGGGUAUGGCUGUUCGCCAUUUAAAGUGGUACGCGAGCUGGGUUUAGAACGUCGUGAGACAGUUCGGUCCCUAUCUGCCGUGGGCGCUGGAGAACUGAGGGGGGCUGCUCCUAGUACGAGAGGACCGGAGUGGACGCAUCACUGGUGUUCGGGUUGUCAUGCCAAUGGCACUGCCCGGUAGCUAAAUGCGGAAGAGAUAAGUGCUGAAAGCAUCUAAGCACGAAACUUGCCCCGAGAUGAGUUCUCCCUGAGACUUAGAGUCUCCUGAAGGAACGUUGAAGACGACGACGUUGAUAGGCCGGGUGUGUAAGCGCAGCGAUGCGUUGAGCUAACCGGUACUAAUGAACCGUGAGGCUUAACCUUACAACGCCGAAG